CAGGGAAUGUGUGUAGCUUUGAUAUUUUGCCUUUGCAAUGGCGAGGUUUUAGGACUAAUGAAGCACUCCUGGAGAAGACGCCGCGACACUUUGGACCUCGGUUCUAAGAAGGAAAACACCGCAAUUAGUCUGAAUCAAACGAUCACGUCACGGUAUAACUCCACUGUUGACAAAUCUUCUCCUAGUAAAACGCUCAUAUUGUGCUAUAAAAAGGGAAACGGGGAGACAACUUCGUUUUGAUGAAAAUGAAACAAAGUAUAUUUAAAAUUUAUGAAAUUAGGAA